rnacentral:rRNA from 1 species
AUGAACGCUAGCUACAGGCUUAACACAUGCAAGUCGAGGGGCAUCAGGAAGAAAGCUUGCUUUCUUUGCUGGCGACCGGCGCACGGGUGAGUAACACGUAUCCAACCUGCCCUUUACUCGGGGAUAGCCUUUCGAAAGAAAGAUUAAUACCCGAUAGCAUAAUGAUUCCGCAUGGUUUCAUUAUUAAAGGAUUCCGGUAAAGGAUGGGGAUGCGUUCCAUUAGGUUGUUGGUGAGGUAACGGCCCACCAAGCCUUCGAUGGAUAGGGGUUCUGAGAGGAAGGUCCCCCACAUUGGAACUGAGACACGGUCCAAACUCCUACGGGAGGCAGCAGUGAGGAAUAUUGGUCAAUGGGCGCUAGCCUGAACCAGCCAAGUAGCGUGAAGGAUGAAGGCUCUAUGGGUCGUAAACUUCUUUUAUAUAAGAAUAAAGUGCAGUAUGUAUACUGUUUUGUAUGUAUUAUAUGAAUAAGGAUCGGCUAACUCCGUGCCAGCAGCCGCGGUAAUACGGAGGAUCCGAGCGUUAUCCGGAUUUAUUGGGUUUAAAGGGAGCGUAGGUGGACUGGUAAGUCAGUUGUGAAAGUUUGCGGCUCAACCGUAAAAUUGCAGUUGAUACUGUCAGUCUUGAGUACAGUAGAGGUGGGCGGAAUUCGUGGUGUAGCGGUGAAAUGCUUAGAUAUCACGAAGAACUCCGAUUGCGAAGGCAGCUCACUGGACUGCAACUGACACUGAUGCUCGAAAGUGUGGGUAUCAAACAGGAUUAGAUACCCUGGUAGUCCACACAGUAAACGAUGAAUACUCGCUGUUUGCGAUAUACAGUAAGCGGCCAAGCGAAAGCAUUAAGUAUUCCACCUGGGGAGUACGCCGGCAACGGUGAAACUCAAAGGAAUUGACGGGGGCCCGCACAAGCGGAGGAACAUGUGGUUUAAUUCGAUGAUACGCGAGGAACCUUACCCGGGCUUAAAUUGCAGUGGAAUGAUGUGGAAACAUGUCAGUGAGCAAUCACCGCUGUGAAGGUGCUGCAUGGUUGUCGUCAGCUCGUGCCGUGAGGUGUCGGCUUAAGUGCCAUAACGAGCGCAACCCUUAUCUUUAGUUACUAACAGGUUAUGCUGAGGACUCUAGAGAGACUGCCGUCGUAAGAUGUGAGGAAGGUGGGGAUGACGUCAAAUCAGCACGGCCCUUACGUCCGGGGCUACACACGUGUUACAAUGGGGGGUACAGAAGGCAGCUAGCGGGCGACCGUAUGCUAAUCCCAAAAUCCUCUCUCAGUUCGGAUCGAAGUCUGCAACCCGACUUCGUGAAGCUGGAUUCGCUAGUAAUCGCGCAUCAGCCACGGCGCGGUGAAUACGUUCCCGGGCCUUGUACACACCGCCCGUCAAGCCAUGGGAGCCGGGGGUACCUGAAGUACGUAACCGCAAGGAUCGUCCUAGGGUAAAACUGGAGACUGG